UACGUAGGGUGCGAGCGUUGUCCGGAAUUAUUGGGCGUAAAGAGCUUGUAGGCGGUUUGUCGCGUCUGCUGUGAAAUUUCGGGGCUCAACCCCGAACUUGCAGUGGGUACGGCAGACUAGAGUGUGGUAGGGGAGACUGGAAUUCCUGGUGUAGCGGUGAAAUGCGCAGAUAUCAGGAGGAACACCGAUGGCGAAGGCAGGUCUCUGGGCCACUACUGACGCUGAGAAGCGAAAGCAUGGGGAGCGAACAGG
rnacentral:rRNA from 1 species